UCCUUCCUCUUCUGUAGCUUGUUCGGAGUCGCCCAUUCGCAUCUUCCCCCUCCCUAUCACCACCAUCACCACGUCAGUGUACGCGUAAGUGAUCCACACCACACCCCCGGCUUCGCGCAUACACCACAGAGCGGCACCACUCGCUGCACUCCUCGAAUUGCCAAAAAACAACUUCGGAUCCGGAGGCAAGAUGCCGCGUCGCGCGCGCGAGGAGAGUGAGGAGGAGAAACCGCACCGCAUCACGAAGCUCGCCGGCAGCAUCGACGACGAUGUGCCGGUGAAGGCGUCGAAGAUCUCCGCCAAGGCGUCGGACCACGGCAACGGCGUUGCUGUAGAGAAACGGAAGCGCACGGAGGGGAGCUGCAAGGUUGCUGUCACUUCGGCGACGGCACCGGCGGAGGAGAAGGACGAGGAGGUGCCGAACAACGGCUGCGCCGCCACAGCGCGCCCGUUCUCGGAGUUCGAGAUGAACCCCAUCGUCGUCAAGGCGCUGCAGUCACGCGGCAUCGAGUCUAUGUUUCCUGUGCAGGCUCUCACCUUUAACGCCAUCAUGAGGAACACGGACGUCCUCGUGCAGGCCCGCACCGGCAGCGGCAAGACACUCGCGUUCGGUAUCCCGAUCGUGGAGCGGCUGCUGAAGCUGCCGAGCCACUUCACCCGCGGCCGCGGCCCGGCUGCCGUGAUCUUCUGCCCUACUCGUGAGCUGGCCAUCCAGGUGCAGGAUGUGCUCUGCGGGAUCAGCUGCGGGCUCGUCGUGACGGCCCUGUACGGCGGUGUUGCCUACGCGAAUCAGGAGCGCGUGCUGCGCAGCGGCGUCGACAUUGUGGUGGCCACCCCCGGCCGCGCGAAGGACUUUCUAGAGAAGGGCACGCUGCAUUUUGACCGCGUUGUGAUGGCGUGCCUGGACGAGGCGGACCACAUGCUGGACAUCGGCUUCAAGGACGACAUUGAGUUGCUGCUCUCGCAGGUGGCCGAGCAGAACGGCUCUGUCGGCGCUGAAAGGCCAGUUCAUCAGACGCUGCUGUUCUCCGCGACGGUGCCGGAGUGGGUGCACACGUGCUCCUUCAUCGCCAAGGACAAGGAGUUCAUCGACAUGGUCGGCAAGGAGGCUGUGCGGACAGCGAGCACGAUCAAGUUCUAUCGCAGAAAAUGCAACUUCAGCGAGAUCUCCUCUAUGCUCGCUGAUCUCAUCAAGGUGUACAGCGGUGCCCACGGCCGCACUCUCGUCUUCACCAACACAAAGAAGGACUGCCACGACUUGUCCAUCAACAACACCAAACUGGACUCGCAGUGCCUGCACGGUGAUAUGCAGCAGGAGCAGCGCGAGAGUACCAUGAAGAGCUUCCGCGACAACAAGUUCAGCGUCCUCAUCGCCACCGACGUGGCGGCCCGCGGUCUCGACCUGCCCAUGGUGGACCUGGUUAUUCAGUGCGCUCCACCGAGCGACAUCGACGCUUUCAUUCACCGCGCCGGCCGUACGGGACGCGCUGGCCGCAAGGGUGUGUGCGUGCUGCUCUACCAACCGCGCGAGGAGUACGUUGUCGAGCGCAUCGAGCGCCACGCGAAAAUGAAGUUUGACGUCCUGCCGGCACCCACGCGUGAAGAGAUUCUCAAGGCCGUCGCCCGUGAUGCCGCUGAGGACCUGGCGCGCGUCGAGCGCCGUGCAACCGACCUCUUCAUGGAUCAGGCAGCCGAGCUGCUGAAGGACGCAGACCCAGUCGAAAUCCUGGCCUCGGCGCUCGCCGUCAUGAGCGGCUACACGUCGAACAUCACCACGCGCGGUCUCAUUACUGGCACGCCAGGGUAUGUGACGGUGCAGAUGACGUCGGAUCGACCGCUGCCCGUUCCGGUGUACUGCAGCAUCCUCCGAAACAACCUCGGCGAUGAAACGUUCAUGCGGUGCCGCGACAUUACACUGUUGCAGGACGACCCGGGCUGCGUCUUCGAUGUGCUGGAGCAGUUUGCCGAGCGUGUCAUGAGCACACCGAUGCGCGGUAUCACCUUCCAGCGGAUCGAGACCCUUCCUCCGAUCAUCGCGCGCGAGCUCAACAGCAGCCGCGGCGGUCGCAGUGGCUUUAACUACGGAGGCGGUCGCGGUGGCUUCAAUAACGGCGGCGGCUACGGCAGUGGGCGUGGUGGCUUCGGCGGCUACGGGGGGGGUCGCGGCGGCGGUCGCGGCGGUGGGCGUGGUGGCGGUUUCCAGCGCCGCUACUGAUGCGGUGAUGCGCCGAUAUUUAGCAGCGUUGAAUGAGUAGGAUCAAGUGCGGUUUGCUCGGGCGCCUGUGUGCGUCUGUCUCUCUCUCUCUUCCUCCUCAGUACCGCACAUCUCCGUCGGGAUGAAGGGGCGAUGGGGGACGCCUCAGUGCGCCGUAUCUCAGAGUCCAGCACCCCCCCCUCCCCAGUCGCUGCGUUGGAAAGCCGGGCAGCCCUCCUAUGUCCCUGCCACGUGCCGAGCCGCUUCUGGUGGUGACGGGGCCAGGCGCCAACACUGCUGAAAACGACUGAGCGAUGUGCCGCUGGUGGUGUCGGCGGUCAGGUCCUGGACGGCGCUGCGUCGGAGCGACCUGCGACCGUGUGAGCGCGCUUGUGCCAUCCAUGCGAUCAGGCCGAGUGCCAGCGUGUCUCGUCCGGCCCCGACACUGCCUGCUGGUGUGGGGAACGCGAACCCCCCCCCCCGACAGCAGCACCAGGUGCUGACCAGCGUGAUGGAAGCGGCUGCGAGGCGACCUGCGAGACGGUGGCGGGCGGAGAGGUUGAGGCAGGGGCCGCUCACAGAUGGCCGCGUCAGCGCAUGUGGUGCAACGCUUGUGUGCCGCUGCGUGGCACCGCGCGGACGGGGUCUUGCGUGGGAGUGAGAUGGAGGGGGGUUGCAUUCCUGUGCGAUGACGAGAGAGACGCGUUGAGAAAACAGUCGGUUCUUUCUUGUGUGUUCGACGCUUACUGCACCUGUUCCUGUCCCCUGCCUACAUUACCCCCCCCUCCCCACACACCCUUCUCGUCCUUGUGUGGCGGGUGGGAGUCAUGUCUUCCCACCGGCGGUGUCUUUCCUGUUGUAUUUCGGUCUCUCUGUACGCGUCUUGAUGGUUCGUAUUUUCUGUGUAACAAGGAUCGGAUGCUGUUGUGUGUGCGCUAAGGAAACGGUUUUGAAGUAACACCUCACGCGAAGGAGGGAGACCGUUGCACCGUGGCAGGUUACCCCGUCCUCCAGCUUCGUUUAAACAACCGAUAAGAAAGCACUCGCUAAAAUCUGAACACUAGAAAACAAUCAUGAUGACGUGUCGGCGUGCGACGAGAAUGUGUGCAGCCGUUGUCCUCUGCAUCCUUUCUCCCCACCCCACUCCCCCACUACCCGUGUGAGUCACCUGCGUAUCUGUACUGCACCGCAAGGGGGUCGAUGCUCAUGCUCACACACUUUCAUUUUUCGAUAUGUGUGUGUGUGUGUGUACAUGGCGAAUACCGCCGAUCUCGGGGGAGGUGGAGGGGGAGGAAGGGAAAGACGUGAGCACCCGCAUCGCUUGCUAUUGUGUGGUUUGCGGACCUCCCGCGUGCAGACACAUACACAUAUAGAGGCGUGCACGGACUUCUCCUGGGGACUCUUGAGCACCCUCAUCGGGUGUCACCCUUCUGUAUGCCGACCCUCUCGCACCCUUCACCCUCCCCUUCGUCCCUGGGUCUUCUCCCCUGUUUCCGCUGCUGGCACGAGGUUGGCCAGCGGGCUCGUCAGCAAAACAACGGUGCUUCCACGGCGGUCGCACCCGUGCCCGGACGUACGUAUAUCUGCUUUCGCGUGUAG
rnacentral:misc_RNA from 1 species